AAUCAACGCUGGCGGCGUGCCUCAGACAUGCAAGUCGAACGCGAAAGUCCCCCUUCGGGGGGCAAGUAGAGUGGCGCACGGGUGAGUAACACGUAGGUAAUCUACCUUUGGAUGGGGAAUAACAACCGGAAACGGUUGCUAAUACCGCAUAAUGCAGCGGCACCUAAUGGUGACAGUUGUUAAAGCGGGGGAUCGAAAGACCUCGCGUCUGAAGAGGAGCCUGCGGCGGAUUAGCUAGNGGUAAGGUAACGGCUUACCAAGGCAACGAUCCGUAGCCGGCCUGAGAGGGCGGUCGGCCACACUGACACUGACAUACGGGUCAGACUCCUACGGGAGGCAGCAGUCGGGAAUUUUGGGCAAUGGGCGAAAGCCUGACCCAGCAACGCCGCGUGAAGG
rnacentral:rRNA from 1 species